rnacentral:rRNA from 1 species
GACGAACGCUGGCGGCGUGCUUAACACAUGCAAGUCGAACGGAAAGGCCCUGCUUUUGUGGUGUGCUCGAGUGGCGAACGGGUGAGUAACAUGUGUGUAACCUUCCCUUGACUUUGGGAUAACAUCAGGAACCUGGGGCUAAUACCGGAUAGGAGCUCCUGCAGCAUGGUGGGUGUUGGAAAGUUUCGGCGGUUGGGGAUGGACUCGCGGCUUAUCAGCUUGUUGGUGGGGUAGUGGCUUACCAAGGUUUUGACGGGUAGCCGUCCUGAGGGGAUGGCCGGCGACGUUGCUACUGAGAAACGCCCGAGACUCGUUCGGGCUGAAGCAGUGGGGAAUAUUGCGCAAUGGGCGGAAGCGUGAGGCAGCAACCCCGCGUGCGGGAUGGCGGCCUUGGGGUUAAAACCCGGUUUCGCCUUUAAGGAAGCGUGUGUGACGGUAAUUGGUAAAGAAGCAGCGGCUAACUACGUG